GAUGAAGAACGUAGCGAAAUGCGAUAAGUAAUGUGAAUUGCAGAAUUCAGUGAAUCAUCGAAUCUUUGAACGCACAUUGCGCCCCUUGGUAUUCCAAGGGGCAUGCCUGUUCGAGCGUCAUUAUAACCCCUCAAGCUCAGCUUGGUGUUGGGGCCUGCUGCACUGGCAGCCCUUAAAAUCAGUGGCGGCGCCAUCUGGCUCUAAGCGUAGUAAUUCUUCUCGCUAUGGAGUCCUGGUGGAUGCUUGCCAUCAACCCCCAAUUUUUCUAUGGUUGACCUCGGAUCAGGUAGGGAUACCCGCUGAACUUAAGCAUAUCAAUAAGCGGAGGA
rnacentral:misc_RNA from 1 species